rnacentral:rRNA from 1 species
UAACAGGACGAGCUGAGCACUCUGGCGAGACUGCCGCCGACAAGGCGGAGGAAGGUGGGGAGUGACGUCAAGUCAUCAUGGCCUUUAUGCCCAGGGCUACACACGUGCUACAAUGGCCGGCACAGACGGCAGCUUAGUGGCGACACUUGGCAAAUCCUCUAAAGCCGGUCCCAGUUCGGAUUGCAGUCUGCAACUCGACUGCAUGAAGCCGGAAUCGCUAGUAAUCGCAGAUCAGCCAAGCUGCGGUGAAUACGUUCCCGGGCCUU